GCACAAGCGGUGGAUGAUGUGGUUUAAUUCGAUGCAACGCGAAAACCUUUACCCACCUUUGACAUGUACGGAAUCCUUUAGAGAUAGAGGAGUGCUCGAAAGAGAGCCGUAACACAGGUGCUGCAUGGCUGUCGUCAGCUCGUGUCGUGAGAUGUUGGGUUAAGUCCCGCAACGAGCGCAACCCUUAUCAUUAGUUGCUACGCAAGGGCACUCUAAUGAGACUGCCGGUGACAAACCGGAGGAAGGUGGGGAUGACGUCAAGUCCUCAUGGCCCUUAUGGGUAGGGCUUCACACGUCAUACAAUGGUCGGUACAGAGGGUUGCCAAGCCGCGAGGUGGAGCCAAUCCCAGAAAGCCGAUCGUAGUCCGGAUUGUUCUCUGCAACUCGAGAGCAUGAAGUCGGAAUCGCUAGUAAUCGCGGAUCAGCAUGUCGCGGUGAAUACGUUCCCGGGUCUU
rnacentral:rRNA from 1 species